UCACCUCAGAGCCGUUGUGACUUCGCGGUCGCUUGGAUUUUGCGUGCGCGCGGGGAGACGGGGUGGGUAGUGGCCUUUUCCGAGAAGGGAACGUCUCCAGGUGCUGGAGGCGUGGGGAGAGUCGCCGGGGGUCGGGGCCAAGCUCAGGGCGGUUUCCCCCGCCGCUGCACUUGCACGGGUGACCACGCGGGUUGGCCAACCGGAAGGUGGUGUUCAAGUCCUGGGCUGAGAGGGAGGGAGGCUGGCCCCAACUUGUGAUUGGAAACAGCCCGAGUGGCUGAGUCCGGGGCAGGGAGCCACCCUGGCACGCAUCACCUCCCCAACCACUGGCCUCUACCUCCUGCCCAGCCCAGUCCAAAGGAGGAAUUCCUGACCACCCACUAAAGGGCCAGGAGCCCCUGUUCUCAUCCACUACAGGGCCUCCAGCUCUGCAGCCAAGAGGAAGCUGGGGCUUUUGGCAUAGGAAGAGCUGAGGGUAGGGCUGGGAAGAGGAACAGACCUGAGCCUACCACCUAGUGUCCUGUGCUGGAGAUUCACAGGUCUGAGGUCAGACCAGAGGCUGGACUUAACCACUGGAAAGCUUCUGGGUCUGUGGAAGGGACAUGCCCUACAAGUGCUCAUUGGUGGCACUUGGGAGCUGCAGGGUCUACCUGCUCACUCACCUGUCCUAUACUGCCCCUCAGGUGUUCCUAACACAACAGAGCUGGCUGAGCUUGCCUCUGGUGCAGAACUGAGGACGUCAUCCCGAGGAGCUGAGGCUCCAGGUGCUCUCCUGAGGGUGGCUGCCAUGCCACUGCCUCAAACUCUGGGCCUCCUUAGGCUCUAAAGAAGAGAAUGAGGAGGAAGCCCAGGCCCAUCCUGACCUGCAGCAAGGCUGGCAUGUGCACAUACAUGAAGCGCUGUGCCCACUGGUGAUAGUAUGCACUGAGUGACUGCUUGGAGCAGGGUACCUGCCAUAUGAUCCGCAGAGCUGAGCAGUCGCACCCUGGAGAGAGUGACACAAAUCUGAGUCCAUGAUAUCUGUCCACAGUGACCUGUCUCUGUAAGCAUCCUGGGCUUCCAGUGGGGCUAGCCUGUACAGUGCUCAGAGUUGGUGCAAUGCCCACUCUCUAGGCUGACACAGGUGCAGGUGUGAGGGAGGGCGGUUCCAACCAGGCACUAAGAGGAGCAGCUAGCCACAGGCCACAUUCUAAGACCAGCUCCUCCUCAUCUGGGGUCAGUGGUAAGGAAAUGCCAAAAUGACCCCCUGGGGCCCUAUCACAUUCCCUAGGGUCAAGCCCUGGAGUCGGGGUGCCCAUCAGGCAGUCUGUUGCUGAUCAGUAUCCCUGAUGUGCCCACCCAGUUGUGCUAGCACAUCUACCCCCAGGGACCUCCUGUUCCAAUGGGUUGAGCCGGUACCCCCACAACUCCCUGAGUAGCAGCCAUGAAGGCUGGCCCCUAGGCAUGAUGAGGCUGUUUUGGGGGAGUAGAGGGCACAUAGUUAUUCUCAGGGCAGAACACAGGGGGCCUCUGAAAACCAAGACGGGUCUGUGGCCAGCAGCCCAGGCCUGGGUGGUAUCUCCUGGGAAUGGUCCCAGACUGGGGCAAUUAGUCUCAGGGAUUAUGGGUCCAUGGCCCCAUGAUGAGGGGUGUCUGGGGCUGCAUUUGGUAAGUGACCCCCUCCCCAUCCUGCCCUCCUCCAAAGGCAUUUGCCCAGUGUCAAAUUGGAGGUUUUGAUUGCGAGGCUCAUGCACUUAUACCCUGGAUGUGGCUCUAUGGGGCAUCGGGCUGCUGCUGUUCAAGGACCUGAUCCACCUAGUGUUCUCGGCGGACACAACAUCUUUGUUGGUAUGUGGUGCUGAGGAUCGAACCCGGGCCGCACGCAUGCCAGGCGAGCGCGCUACCACUUGAGCCACAUCCCCAGCCCUAUUUUUAUUUUUUUUUAAGUUUAUUUUUUUAGUUCCAGAGAUUAAACCUAGUGAGACUUAAUUUUGAGACAGGGUCUCUCUGAGUUGACCAAGUUUGCUUCAAACUUGUGAUUCUCCUACCUCAGCCUUCUAAGUGGAUGGGAUUACAGGCCUGUGCUACAGUCCUGAGAACAUCCCCACACACAGUGGUGCCCCCAAUUCCUCUUUUAUUUUUUUAAGAUUUAUUUUUUAAUUGUAGUUGGACACGAUACCUUUAUUUUAUUUAUUUUUAUGUGGUGCUGAGGAUUGAACCCAGGGCUUUGCACAUGCUGGGCAAGUGCUCUACCGCCGAGUCACAACCCCAGCCCCCCAAUUCCCCUCUUUAAUGACCAGGUGACAACCAGGUAGAUUGUCUGGGAGGGGGUCUGCCUUGAGGCCAGAGGAAGCCCUUGGGCUGGCCCAGUGCCCACACAGCUCUUUUCCCUUGAGGGAUCAGGCUUAGGCUGUGGUCUGGCUGUGGCUGGGCUGGAUUGUGGAGAUGUAAACACCAGCACCUGUGAGUGACAGCCUCCAGCACAGGUCACAGUACAGGCUGCCGGCACCUGCAGUGGUACCCAUAGUACCACGCAGGAUAGCUGAAUGUACUGUUUGCCCUGCUGGCAGGCCUGGCCAGAAGAUGACCAACCUGUGGGUGGUCGUGUUUGUGGCCCUUGAUGGGGUGAUAGACCAGGAGGCAGGACAUCAGGACAGGGAACAUGCCUCAUGCCUCAGGGUGCCAUGAGGCUGCAGGGUGGUGGAACUUACCUCGGACUCACCUCCUGCCCCUGACCCACGCACCUAGGAUGGUGUUCAGGAAGAUUGGGGAAGCCAUGCCUGCAUUGCUGCAAGGUGUGCUCCCAUCAAGGAGCCUCAGAUAGAUCCUUGAUCUGGAAGGCACGGCCCUGCUCAGCUCAGCAGCCCUCUCUGCGUGGGCCAAGACACCAGGCAGGACAUGUCCAGGCAUUCAGAGACAGGUCACUGAGAUGCGAGCGAGGAAAAUAGUGGGCCCACAUACCUGUUAUGGACUCAUCCCACAAGGUGGUGGGGCUCAGAUCCCACAGAACCUGGCAGGGUGUAGCUCGGGGCCUCUCUGACUGCGCCCCGCCAGUGGACACCUCUGUCCCUGAAGUUACUGCUCCCCACCUUGGUUUUCUUGUUUCCUGGGUUUCUUGCUGUGAUUGACCGUACGUGUGUAGGCUAAUACGCUCAGUGUUUUUCCACAUCUGGAAUUUGUUUGGACCUUAAGUCAUUCUGUAAUAAAACUAAUUUAAAAGCA